rnacentral:rRNA from 1 species
CCUACGGGUGGCAGCAGUGAGGAAUAUUGGUCAAUGGACGAGAGUCUGAACCAGCCAAGUAGCGUGAAGGAUGACUGCCCUAUGGGUUGUAAACUUCUUUUAUAUGGGAAUAAAAUGUUCCACGUGUGGGAUUUUGUAUGUACCAUAUGAAUAAGGAUCGGCUAACUCCGUGCCAGCAGCCGCGGUAAUACGGAGGAUCCGAGCGUUCUCCGGAUUUAUUGGGUUUAAAGGGAGCGUAUGUGGAUUGUUAAGUCAGUUGUGAAAGUUUGCGGCUCAACCGUAAAAUUGCAGUUGAAACUGGCAGUCUUGAGUACAGUAGAGGUGGGCGGAAUUCGUGGUGUAGCGGUGAAAUGCUUAGAUAUCACGAAGAACUCCGAUUGCGAAGGCAGUUCACUGGACUGCAACUGACACUGAGGCUCGAAAGUGUGGGUAUCAAACAGGAUUAGAUACCCCUGUAGUC